UAAUAGUAUAGACAAAUAUAAAUCAAUUGCUUUAAAAAAGCAAUUGUAGGGGGUCUUUCCCCCUUUAAAAUUAAUUGAAUUGGGGGGGGGGGGGGUGUUUGUUUGUUUGUUUGUUUGUUUGUUUGUUUGUUUGUUUGUUUGUUUCUGUAUGGGGUCUAUAUUAUUGUUACCGGAGAAGUUUCAUGUUUAGUUCGGAAAGUUUUUCUUUUAUUUUAGGUACAGCGCCACAUCACGUGACACGGGUUUAUAAUAACGAAAAGAUAGUCUUUUUAUUUCUUUUUAGGUGGGGACUUUGAACAGACAACAUGUAUAGAGACGGAAUAAACACAAUGUAAUUUCUUUUGUCAUUGUAGGAAAUUGACAUUUUGAUGACAGUUCACAAGCAGUGCAUGUUUUGGAUUUAAUUGAUCCGGUGUAACUUUAAAACACAUUUAUUGAUCAUUUUCUGAUAUUGUACAUUUUUUAGCACCUGUUUGUAACACAGAUUAGUAUUUCAAUUUCGGAGCGGACAUUUUAUAGUAGGUUUUUACUGAGAUUUACAGACCUAGCAAGCGAUUUUUACGGCAUUGCCAUUUCUUUUCUCUAGGAAAAGCUUUGAGAGAUAUCUGCACCAAGUUUUUUUAUAAACUUUCAGUACAUGUAUGCCCUGCUGACUGCAAAUUUUGAGGUCGAUUGUACUUGUAGUUUCAGAGAACAUGUGGAUUUUUUUUCAGAAGUGACGCAAGAACAAUAUUGAAUUUCGAUUUUUCAUGAAACAUGAUUUAUUGAUCAUGAUCAUGAUUGAUUGAUUGAUUGAUUGAUUGAUUGAUUGAUUGAUUGAUUGACUGAUUGAUUGAUUGGUUGAUUAGUUGGUUGGUUGGUUGGUUGGUUAAACACGUUGCUUAAACAUGUUGCUUAAACACGUUGGAUAGGCUCAAAAUUGGAUCCCGUAUUUAACGCAUGAAACGGAAACAUGCAUUGAUUGAUUGAUUGGUUGGUUGGUUGGUUGGUUGGUUAAACACGUUGGUUAAACAUGUUGGUUAAACACAUUGGUUAAACAUAUUGGUUAAACACGUUGGCUGGUUAAACACGUUGGAUAGGCUCAAUUUAAACAAGCGGGAAAAAAAAAACCAUCUUGGAUCCCGUAUUUAACACAUAAAACGGAAACAUGCAUUGAUUGGUUGGUUGGUUAAACACGUUGGUUAAACAUGUUGGUUAAACACGUUGGUUAAACAUAUUGGUGAAACACGUUGGCUGGUUAAACACGUUGGAUAGGCUCAAUUUAAACAAGCGAAAAAAAAAACACAUCUUGGAUCCCGUAUUUAACACAUGAAACGGAAACAUGCAUGCAUUGAUUGGUUGGUUGGUUGGUUGGUUGGUUAAACACGUUGGUUAAACAUAUUGGUGAAACACGUUGGCUGGUUAAACACGUUGGAUAGGCUCAAUUUAAACAAGCAAAAAAAAACAUCUUGGAUCCCGUAUUUCACACAUGAAACGGAAACAUUAAUUGAUUGAUUGAUUGGUUGGUUGGUUGGUUGGUUGGUUGGUUAAACACGUUGGUUAAACAUGUUGGUUAAACACGUUGGUUAAACAUAUUGGUUAAACACGUUUGAUAGGCUCAAUUAAAACAGGCGAAAAAAAAGAGACCUUGAAUCCCGUAUCAAACACAUGAAACGGAAACAUUGAUUGAUUGAUUGAUUGAUUGAUUGAUUGAUUGGUUGGUUGGUUGGUUGGUUGGUUGGUUGAAAUUCAAACACACAUAAAACUGUUUAAAUAGUGCCAAAACCACAUAAUUUGAUGACCUUGACCUUUGACCUUGUAACCUUCGUCAAGGUCAUUGCUCCACAAGGUCAUUGCAAAAGACCCUAUGGGUCAAGGACCUUUUGUUUAAGAGUUUUGCCUAAAAAUGGCUUUUUAAAAACCAUCGAUGGGAGUUAUGUCCCUUACAUGAUGGUAAAAUCAAUAUAGUCAUAAUGUAAAAAAAUUGCCCCUUGAAGUACCAAGCAUUUUUCACUGCUUAAUUUUUUUGUAUCUAUAACCGUUCAAGAGUUAUAGGGAAAUCAAAGACAUGUGAAAAUCUAAAAUAUGACCUUGACCUUUGACCUUGACCUAAUUUUCAUUUUUUUGGACCAAGGGUCCUCAAAUCAAGAGAUCCUAGGUCUCUAGCACUUAUGGUUUACAAGAUAGAAAUGCAUAUCACUUAUAACAAAUGCAUAAGGGGAAAUAACUCUCAUAUGGAGCGUUCAUAUCGCUUCGGUCAAAAUAGGACAAAUCAUGCGAAGGAUAUAACGAGUAAUUUUGUAAAAUAAAUUUGUCAUAAUAUUUUACGGUUGCGAAGGAGUUGCGCUAACAAGGAAAACAGUGUUUGGGGAGAUAACUCCUACAAAGAAAAGUAUUCGUUUACGCAGGGUAAAUUUCAAAAGCGCAUAAACUGUUCGAUAUCAUAUACCAAAUAUCUAAGCGACAUAUUGCGAAACAAAUGUUUAUCGCAAGAACAAAAUUAGGCGGAAGAAAAAAAAAAAAAAAAAAAAAAAUAAUCAGAACAAAUACAAUAGGCUUUCCACAGAAAAGUGGAAAGACCUAAUUACCUUUA
rnacentral:lncRNA from 1 species